CCUCCAAAAAAGUGAAGCAAAUCUUGGGCCCAGCCCUGUGGCCCAUUAAGGACAACUGCAGAACUUCUAUUGACUUCAGUGGGAGCAAGAUUUGGGCCAUUUGUGUGUUGCUGUAAAUAAAAGGAGCUUUUGUACUAAGCUGUAGGGAAGUUGAGACAUUGUAUAGUGGCUUUGGAUGGCAACCGAAUCUACUUAAUUUAAAAAUUAGGGAGUGUUACUAGUACUAGAAAUAAUGAUCUAUAUUAUAAUGUCUGAGAUCAAUAAUAUCAAACAGAUAUAUUUGAGAAAGGGAGGCACAUCACAUGUGUAAAUAACACUGAAAGUUUCAGUAAUUGUAUUCAGUAUAAAAAAUAAUGCAUGAAUCGUGUACACAGGGGCUAUAGCCUAUAGCUCAGGGGUUCUCAAACAGGGGGUUGGGACCCCUCAGGGAGUCACGAGGUUAUUACAUGGGGGGGUCAUGAACUUUCAGCCUCCACCCCAAACCCCACUUUGCAUCCAGCAUUUAUAAUGGUGUUAUAUAUAAAAAAGUGGUUUUUAAUUUGGGGGGGGGAGGGGUCACACUCAAAGGCUUGCUUUGUUAAAGGGGUCACCAGUACAAAAGUUUGAGAACCACUGCUAUAGCUGCAUCUAAGCUGCACUGGAGAGCGCUUGGUGCAGGGUGGGCAAUGGUGGUUUUAUGUUACCUUUACAAGCUCUUUGAUGCUGGGGCUGGUUUGGCUCAUAGUGCAAUUUAGAGCAGCCUCAGAGCUGUCCUACAUUGUGCUGGCUGGUAAUGCCUAUGAAGAGUCAUUGUCAGGGACCAUCUUUUUGUUCUCUGUUUGUCCAGUGCUUAAUACAAGGGGGCCCUGGUCCAUGGCUAGGUCUCCUAGGGUUCGUCUACACAGAAAUAAGAGACCCAAGGCAGUGAGCCUCGGAACCCGCGUCAACUGACGUGGGCUUGGGCUGUGGGGCUAAAAAUAGCAAUGCAGAUAUUCAGCUUGAGCAUUAACAUUUACACUGCUUCACAGGGCAAGCCUGAGUCAGUUGACCCAGGGUCUGAGUCUCGCUGCCGGUGGGUUGUGGGUUGUUGUUUUUGUUUUGUUUUUUGUAGUGUAGACGUAUCCUAAGGCACUUAAAUACUACUGAUAAUUUUGCUCUCCAGGAAUUGUCAGAGCACAGCACCACUCUGGUCAUGCUCUUCCCUCUCUAUCUGGCAAUAAAGGGUAUGGCGGGAGGAAUAAUAGAGCUAAAAAUGUCUGCACUGUGCCGCAUUGGAAAUCUCCAUGUAGGCAGUUAAACUGUCUUUCCACCUGCUCCGAACCCCUAGAGUAGCACAAAGUAGCUGGAAUGGGGAAAGCCAGGAUCAGGUUCUGUGUUUUUUUGCAUCAGGAUCUUAUACCUUUAUAGAAAUUUUUUAAAUAACUCAAUUUAGUUUGGCUUUUUUCUCUGUGUUGCAUGUAGAACUAUAGGAAGCUUAUUGGAGGUGUUUUAAAGACACGCAGUCUUACUAUGUUAUGCUGAUUUGCCCACAACUGUGUGGUUACUUUCACGUUCACUAUCACAGGCGUGCACAAAUCCCUAAGUUAUGUGGGCACCAGACUAGAUGGUCACUUCCUCUGGCACGCACGCACACACGCAUCAGGAAUUUCUUUAUUUUUUUCCAAAUACGCAUUUUAGAUCCAGAUUUUUUUUUAUUUAAAAACAAUUUCUUAUAAUCAUCAGGUUCCAUGAUCAUAUUAUAUUACUUGUUUUCAACAUAUAGAAUCUAACAAAUUUUGCUUAGAAAAAUAGGCUCCUCUCAUCCUGCAAUAUUUACAUUCACCCAAAAUAGUUUAUCAACUGUACUUGGGUCAUAUGUGUUCAUGUCAAUACUUUCCUUUUUGUCUCCCGCUUAACUUAAAUAAGCUUUAGUAAUCAUUUUAACCUGAAAUCAGAUAUUGGAAGAAAAAAAAAAUGUGCCUCACCGAGCUGGCACAAGCUCUUAGUUUAACUGGGUCAUACAGAAUUAACUAUGGUGGCUCUCGCGAUCUCACUGUUUAGCUGUUAGGACCUUAAUACAUAAGAACUUGUCAGUGGUCCACCAAUACCAAAUUUCUCUCUUUCUAAUAUGAAAAAAAACAGAUGACUUAAUUGUUAUUUGGCACCACCUUAAUUAUCCAUUCUCCACUGUCUCCCUUACAAUUCUUAUCCAAGCCUCCAGAUUUGGGGAGUCCUUUUCUUUCUACUUUUUACCAAUGAUCUAUUGUCAUCACAAGCCCUAGAAGUGUUCCACCGUGAUUGUUAGGGGGUGACUGACAGGAUGUAAUUUUAGGGGGUUAGCGGCAGAUCAGAUUUGAUUUUUCUUAAUUUUCCUAUGAUCUUUUUUCCAGCAAGGCAGGGUUUUGGGCGGACAUUUAAUGUCUGAGCUCUCCCGCAUACAACUUCCUCUCUUUCCUAUGUAGGAAACUGAAUGAUUAUAUUUGUGCAAUUGGGAGACUGUCAUGGGCAGUUUUGAAGAGAACCUCACUUCUAGCUAACAGCUUCAGAGUGUUUACUCCAGUAUUUCAACGUUAUCUAAAGGCUUACAAUUUUCAGAGAUAAUAUUAAUCCCCAUUUAAGAUAAACCUGAGUUUAAUAAUACUUGGUAAAGUCCUCUUCGCUAUUGUAUUCCUAUUAUUCUGUCUCUUUGUUUCUCUCAACAAGAUUUCUUUGUGUUAGUUAAUAAAGUGUCUAAGCUUCCAAAACUGAUAGAAGGGGAUCAGCUGUCUCAUUGAUAUGCAGUGCUUCUAUGGAAUUAAAUUCUUUGCCUAGACAGCUGGGCAGUCUGUUACCCCUAUAGAACACUGUCUAUAUGACACAGUUCCACUGUCACAAAUUAGCAUUGCCUGAAUGUAGGUAUUGAGAAGAAGAUUUAGCCAGGGCUCUCUUUCUCUCGGGUCCCAAAAGCAAUCUGAACAAAAAGGUGGACAUCUAGCUUUCCACUUUUAUGUUUCAGGUAGCCCUGUCGCACCCGUAGGUGCAGCAUAUUCAAUAAUUGCUUUUCAGACUUGUCCAAUGAUGCAUGCCAGUAUGCCUCCAAUUGUGGCAUAAAUGUACCAAUAUUGAGUUCCCCUUCCAGCUGCAGCCUAGAGCAUAAACCAAUGUACGUGUUUUUUUUUUUAGUAAAAACAAAACAGCAGUAAAACCCACAGUAGAUUAUUUAGAGAAGGGCAACAAGUGAAAAGCAAGUGUCUUCUGCCAUAGGAGAAAACAAUAAAAGGGAGCUUAUCUGGAUAAGGCUCUGCAUAAAUUAUAACCUUCUAUGUGACCAGUUCUUGUGUAGACAAAAGCUUCCCAGUAAAAAGAUCUGAUUAUUUUUUGCUACUACAAUGUAGAAAAAUCCUACUCUUCUAAGUUUCAUGUACUUACUGGAAUACACUUGUAAAAACUAGAACUUCAUCUUUGGAAUGAGUUGAAAGAAUUUUUUUUGUAAGUUAUGACUUUGCUGCUGUGUUCCAAAAAUAUAAAUUCUCUAAUACAUUUCUAAAAAGAAAUCCAUAUAAAGACUUUAUCAAAGUUUUAUAACAGAAAGAGGGAAAACUGGUUCUAUUAGCAAGAAUAUCUACUCACGUACUAAUAAACUGUGUUUUAAGUUUAAAUAA